rnacentral:rRNA from 1 species
CACAUGCAAGUCGAACGGGAAUUACUUUAUUGAAACUUCGGUCGAUUUAAUUUAAUUCUAGUGGCGGACGGGUGAGUAACGCGUGGGUAACCUGCCUUGUACAGGGGGAUAACAGUCAGAAAUGGCUGCUAAUACCGCAUAAGCGCACAGGACCGCAUGGUCCGGUGUGAAAAACUCCGGUGGUAUAAGAUGGACCCGCGUUGGAUUAGCUUGUUGGCAGGGUAACGGCCUACCAAGGCGACGAUCCAUAGCCGGCCUGAGAGGGUGAACGGCCGCAUUGGGACUGAGACACGGCCCAGACUCCUACGGGAGGCAGCAGUGGGGAAUAUUGCACAAUGGGGGAAACCCUGAUGCAGCGACGCCGCGUGAAGGAAGAAGUAUCUCGGUAUGUAAACUUCUAUCAGCAGGGAAGAGAUUGACGGUACCUGACUAAGAAGCCCCGGCUAACUACGUGCCAGCAGCCGCGGUAAUACGUAGGGGGCAAGCGUUAUCCGGAUUUACUGGGUGUAAAGGGAGCGUAGACGGAUGGACAAGUCUGAUGUGAAAGGCUGGGGCUCAACCCCGGGACUGCAUUGGAAACUGCCCGUCUUGAGUGCCGGAGAGGUAAGCGGAAUUCCUAGUGUAGCGGUGAAAUGCGUAGAUAUUAGGAGGAACACCAGUGGCGAAGGCGGCUUACUGGACG